rnacentral:lncRNA from 1 species
AGGGGCGAGCUGCUUUCAGCAUCAAGUUCUUUCUACAAAAGGACCUGAGCUGAAAUGAAACAGUUUGCCAGAGGCUUCUAGAGAUAAAGGUGGACUCCCGCAGAAAAUGUUCCAGAUCCUGGGAAGACAACAGCGCAAAUUAGAUAAGAGUGUAUCCUUGUUUAAUAGUUGGCAUUAGAUGCUGCAAAAUAUAACCUUGAGUUGGAACAGACACCCUUUCCAGAGCCUCCCUGAGCAAUCACUGUGCUGAGUACACCCCUCGCCCACCAGUAUUGCUCCGCACAGAGGCCUCCCCAACUCCAGGUCUCACCACAGAAGCUUGAGCAGUCCAGUUCCCUACCCACAGCUGACCUCCAACAGCAGGAAGAAGGAGCUUCAGCUUUGGACCUGGUCCCUGGCCCCACCUGACUCCAGGAGGCUGCCCAGAUCAGAACAGGGAGGAUGCUGGUUUCAGUCGGGAAGACCAAGCAAGAAAAAAAAGGCAGAAAAUCCCAGCAGAUAUGCAGUGGCAUGGAUCCAAGUGACAGAGAUGAGCACAGAAGUUACUGCUUUCCUUAUUCCUCUCCUGAUGCUGAGCACCCAUGACUCUUCACCCUCUCCCGAAGUCACUCCAGGGUCCACACACUCAUACAUAAUGGGCUACCUUCUCAAAAGAAGGGAACCCUGGGUUCAGAACACAAGACAUAAUACCUUUGCUGUUAUGAAAUCAUGAAAGAAUUCUUGGAUGUUCACAAACUAGAUUUGCCCAGCUCCCACAACAUCUUAUUUUCAUUAGCUUUGACUAAAGGGAAAAUUCCUCGUGACACUGUCAAGGGAAGCUUUAGAGCGACUGAAGUCAUAUGCUGAUUGUUAGAAGCUUCUUAAAAGCAUGAUUUUCGUUGCCAUCUAAAUGUAUAGAGGCUGAUAAACUGCAUAGGAACUGGGGAAAAAGGGGUGAGAAGAAGUAAUAAUAAAACGACGAGCUAUUGAAAAGGUGUGACCAUUAAAAAAUCCCCAACUGAUACAUUUGUCCAUAAAAUGAAGCCCCUUGAGACAUCACCAUGUUUCCUCUGUUCUUACUAAGCUAAGUGAGAGGUGAGUGGGCACUGAACCUUCUCCCUUCCUCACUGACACAGAGAUGGUGGGGGAAGCCAAGGGGAAGCACCUCUCUUCUGUCCACAUCUUGGAGUCUGGCUAACUCUUACCAAACAAGGGAGAAAAUAUGUCUUAGGUGGAACCAUAUAAAACUGCCAUCUUUGUAAAUGGUCUUUUUAAAUGGUUUUUUAAAAAACCAUCUUUUUAAAAAAUGGUCAAAUAUCAGCAAUUUCAUAUGGUUCAACUAUGCAAUAUCUCCAAAGCAGGACAUCCUAACCAUUUGGGUAAUGACAAGGUGUUCCUGACUCAUUGUUCUUUGGCAGAAAUGACUAACUCUGGAGAAAAAGACAAGAGAUGGGUAAUUCACUGUGAAAUCAAGUUGGCCCAUUCUUAAUGAUUAAAAUAAUGUCCUAAAAAGACAGAAAUGUUUAACUUCCAAGAUAUCUUUUAAACCAACCCAGAAAAUAGAGUUAUGCUUCUUACAGAAUUCAAUUUAACAAAUCUCUGCUCAGAGCCUAAUUUGCACAAAGCACAGACUGCUGAAUAUAGGAAUAUUUGCAGAGUUUCUUGAGAUUAAUCUGAUAGUGAGGGAGAAAUCCUUCAAUACAUGGAGAAUAGCUAAUGCCACAGGAAUUAUUUGUUAACAAAGAAAGGCAUCUGGGUCAUCAGCACCAUUUCUGAAAUUGUUAAAUCUUGACAGUAACGAUUACAGCUUUGUUAGGAGCAGAAAAUGUCAGGAGCAUAAAGAGUAGCCUGACUUCUCAUGUUAGUGCUACUGGACAUGAGGCCUUCUAAAGAAAGCAAUAAUGCAGUAAAAUAAGACUCUGGCUUUGUUAUUUCUAGCUGCAGCUCCCCAGGGAAACUGGGCAGUGGGGCCUAUGUUCUAGGGGGGAUCCCUGUAAAAUUUACAGCAUCUGUGGGCAGGAGCAGGGCUCCUGUUGAUUGACAUUCCUAGCAAGGCCCAUCUGUUUGUUCAGCUUUUUCCUGAGGGAGCCAGAAAGGGCUUGCUUCAGUUUCUUAUAAUGAGUUGAAAUUCCUAAUAAGAGAAAGCUUUGUGGUUGAGUCAAAAUAUUAAGAGAAGUAAUAUGCUGACAUUUUAAAAUUCACAACUUUCACCAAUUUAAAAGCACACGUUAUCACACUGUUUUCUUAACAUUUCUCUUCCUGGUGCAAAAGUGAGGCUAAUUGCACUCUUGCACAUACCCAAGUGGUUUCAGAGAGGAUCCAGGGUCUCCACUGGACCCUCAGUUAUCAAUGAAUCCACAAGCAUUACUGCUACUAAUAGAAGAUGAUAGAUAGUAAUAAUAAUAAGCUUGUAAUAAUAAGGCCAGCUAAAACUUUAUGCCAAGAAAGAAAAUUUAAGAUAUGAUUCUUGCCAUAUGGGUUGGAGAAAAAGAAUUCAUAAAUUAUUUUAAAAGUUACUAAAUAAAACACAGUUAGGAC